rnacentral:tRNA from 1 species
GCUGCCGUAGCUCAGAGGUAGAGCACUCCCUUGGUAAGGGAGAGGUCGAGAGUUCAAAUCUCUUCGGCAGCA